GCUAUUUGCAAGGUACCUAAUUG
ensembl:miRNA mir-245 ncRNA